rnacentral:rRNA from 1 species
UACGUAGGGAGCAAGCGUUGUCCGGAAUCAUUGGGCGUAAAGCGCGCGUAGGUGGCUUCAUAAGUCCGUUGUGAAAGUCAAAGGCUCAACCUUUGAAAGCCGAUGGAUACUGUGAAGCUAGAGUACGGAAGAGGCGAGUGGAAUUCCUGGUGUAGCGGUGGAAUGCGCAGAUAUCAGGAGGAACACCAAUAGCGAAGGCAGCUCGCUGGGACGUUACUGACGCUGAGGAGCGAAAGCGUGGGGAGCGAACAGG